AUGAAAUUAAAAUUAUUAAAUAUAAUUUUAUCAAUAAUAAAUAAACUUAAUAAUAAUAAUAAUAUUAUUAUUAAUAAUCUAUUAGAUUCAUUAAUAAAUAAGAAAUUAUUAUUAAAGAAUAUAUUAUUAGAUAUAAAUAAUAAAAAAAUAAAUAAUAUAAAAAGAAUAUUAAAUAAUAAUAAUAUAAACCCCGCGGGCGCCAAUCCGGUUGUUCACCGGAUUGGUCCCGCGGGGAAUAUUAAUAAUAAAUUACAACAUUUAAAUAAUAUAAAUAAUUGAAAUCUACAAAUUUAUAAUUAUAAUAAAAAUAUAGAAAUUAUAAAUACUAUAAAUGAUAAAUUAAUUAAUAAAUUAUUAUAUAAAAUAAUAACUUUAAAAUUAAAUAAUAUAAACCCCGCGGGACCAAUCCGGUGAACAACCGGAUUGGCGCCCGCGGGGAAUAUUAAUAAAAUUAUUAUAAGUAAACUUAUUAAUCAACAUAGUUUAAAUAAAUUAAAUAUUAAAUUUUAUUAUUAUAAUAAUGAUAUUAAUAAUAAUAAUAAUAAUAAUAAUAAUAAUAAUAAUUAUUAUAUAAAUAUAAUAAAUAAAUUAAUAAAUAUUAUAAAUAAUAAUAUAAAUAAUAAUUUAUGUAAUAUUUUAAGUUAUUAUUAUAAUAAAAAAGUAACUAUUGAACCUAUUAAAUUAUCAUAUAUUUAUUUAAAUAGUGAUAUUUUUAGUAAAUAUAUUAGUUUAAAUGAUAUAGAUAAAUAUAAUAAUGGUAUCUUAACUAAUUAUCAACGUAUAUUAAAUAAUAUUAUGCCUAAAUUAAAUGAUCAUAAUAUUUCUAUAAAUUAUAUUAAUAAUAUUAAUAAUAUUAAUAAUAAUAAAUAUAAUAAUAUAAUUAAUUUAUUAAAUAAUAAUAAUAAUAAUAAUAAUUAUAAUAUUAAUAAUAAUAAUAAUUAUAAUAAUAAUAAUAAUAAUUAUAUUGGUAAUAUUAAUAAUAUUUAUAAUAAUAUAACUAUUGAUAAUAUUCCUAUAGAUAUUUUAAUAUAUAAAUAUUUAGUUGGUUGAUCUAUUAAAUUUAAAGGUAGAUUAAGUAAUAAUAAUGGUAGAACUAGUACACUUAAUUUAUUAAAUGGUACUUUUAAUAAUAAAAAAUAUUUAUGAAGUAAUAUUAAUAAUAAUUAUAAAUUAAAUUAUAUCCCUUCUAAUCAUAAUUUAUAUAAUAAUUCUAAUAUUAAUAAAAAUGGUAAAUAUAAUAUUAAAGUUAAAUUAAACUUUAUUUAA
rnacentral:rRNA from 1 species